rnacentral:rRNA from 1 species
CACGUAGGGGGCAAGCGUUGUCCGGAUUUAUUGGGCGUAAAGAGCUCGUAGGCGGUUUGUCGCGUCUGCUGUGAAAACCCGAGGCUCAACCUCGGGCCUGCAGUGGGUACGGGCAGACUAGAGUGCGGUAGGGGAGACUGGAAUUCCUGGUGUAGCGGUGAAAUGCGCAGAUAUCAGGAGGAACACCGGUGGCGAAGGCGGGUCUCUGGGCAACAACUGACGCUCGAUGCCACGAAAGCGUGGGGAGCAAACAGG